UAACCUGCCCAAGAGACUGGGAUAACACCUGGAAACAGAUGCUAAUACCGGAUAACAACACUAGACGCAUGUCUAGAGUUUAAAAGAUGGUUCUGCUAUCACUCUUGGAUGGACCUGCGGUGCAUUAGCUAGUUGGUAAGGUAACGGCUUACCAAGGCAAUGAUGCAUAGCCGAGUUGAGAGACUGAUCGGCCCACAUUGGGACUGAGACACGGCCCAAACUCCUACGGAAGGCAGCAG
rnacentral:rRNA from 1 species